UUAGAAAAAUAAUAUUCAUUGAAUAUAUUGAAUGUUUCCUUAAAAAAUAAUAUUCAAGAGGGGUAAAAAAAUUUAGGAUGGGCAGUGUAUUUGAUGAAGUUAGAAAUUUAAAUCAUAGAACAAUAAAGGAGAAGAAUGAAAAGAUUCUUUUUAUUUUCUCUGACUGAGUAUAAGAACAAUGAAAUCCAAAGGAUUCCACGACAGUUCUAAUAAGGAAUAAUAAGAACAAGAAAAGGAAUGAUAAACAUACUUGACAGGAAUAAGAAAAAUGUGACAGAAUUUAAGACAAAAUAAAUAUAGAAUACAUGCAGAGUUUCAAAUAAUAUAUUGGUUUAAGAAAAAAAAUGACAGCAAAAAAAGAAUUUCAGAAUUU
rnacentral:misc_RNA from 1 species